rnacentral:rRNA from 1 species
CCUACGGGGGGCUGCAGUAGGGAAUCUUCCGCAAUGGGCGCAAGCCUGACGGAGCGACGCCGCGUGAAGGAUGAAGGUUUUCGGAUUGUAAACUUCUUUGAUCGGGGACGAAAUUGACGGUACCCGAGGAACAAGCCACGGCCAACUACGUGCCAGCAGCCGCGGUAAUACGUAGGUGGCAAGCGUUGUCCGGAAUUACUGGGUGUAAAGGGCGUGUAGGCGGGAAGGCAAGUCAGAUGUGAAAGCCCAUGGCUUAACUGUGGAAUUGCAUCUGAAACUGUUUUUCUUGAGUGCUGGAGAGGAAAGUGGAAUUCCUAGUGUAGCGGUGAAAUGCGUAGAGAUUAGGAGGAACACCAGUGGCGAAGGCGGCUUUCUGGACAGUAACUGACGCUGAGGCGCGAAAGCGUGGGGAGCAAACAGGAUUAGAUACCCCUGUAGUCAC